rnacentral:lncRNA from 1 species
CGGGAAGAGCAUCCACCCCAUCUUCCCUUUGUGGUACUCAUGCCCGUGGUCGGCGUGUUGCAUCGUUCUCCCGGGCGAGGGUGCAAACAGACUAGCCUGCGGUUUGCUGUUCAUAGCCAGUUUCAUACAGACUACGAAAAGGCGAGUUGGUUUAUUCUUUACUAAACACUGGGGGAGGGACUAGGCUGUUUAGAAAAAAAUGUUUCAGGUGGACUAGCCCCUCCCCCCCAAUGCUGGAAAUCCUUGUAUCAGCUGUAGCGUCUUUAGGGCAGACGCCCGGGAUGCGAGUGGCUGUUCUGCCGGCUGGGGCUGGGACUGGGACAAGCUGCAGGGGCAAUUGUAUUCACGUAUUUGUGCUGCACCAGCUCCUGAGCCGGGCCGCGCGCAGCGUGGCAUUAACGAGACCAGGCGGCCCAGGCCCGCCGCCUCCCACCCUAUCAGACAAAGCAGUAACAUAAAGAAGUCCCAAGAGAUAAGAAGGAAAGAAAAACAGAGACACAGAUCAUCGUGCUUUGAAAAUAUUUGUACAGAGGUGAAGCUACCCAGACACUUGAAGCCUUGUGAGCAGGUGGCUAGCUGGGAACCAUCACUGCGUGCUGUGCCAAUACCCAGUGCUCUGCUCCUGAGUCAUUGCUUUCUUGGUUACAUUUACAUAACUAUUCCAACAUCUAGUUUGGUAAGAAGAAAAGAAAAUUGUGCUUGUUUGUCUCAGUGGGAGUU